CACAGAGCCCAUGCAGCCUGGGUCCAGCCCACAUUCCUCAGCUGGCCUUGGUGUAGUGAGCAUGCUCAAUGUUCAACCAGAAGCUAAGCCCUGCACCAAGGAACUUUAGCUGCCAUCUGUGCCUGCAGACUCUGGCUCAGGUCAACUAGGCCACAGAACUGGAAGCAGAACUCCUGGCAAGUCCUUCAAAGAAGCGGGAUAACCACUGGUGGCUGGUUCUGCUUCCCUAAGGAGAGUCGUGCCUUGGGAAGGCCCGCAGCACUACAGACUAUAGGAGCCACUGAGAUGGCUCAGCAGGAAAAAAAGGAGCCUGCCUCAAAGCCCAACAAGCGGAGUAUGGUCCCUGAGUAUCCAUACG
rnacentral:lncRNA from 1 species